AUUUUUCCUUUUUUUUCCUGGUUAGGGCAGCAAACUAGUGACCUAUGUUAUGUUUGAGACUUAUGUGACAUCUGUCAGCCAUCACAUUGCUAAUAAGGAUUGUUUCUCUAUCUAGGAAAGCAGGUAUCUAACAGGUCCUAUACAAACCAUGGAGAAAUACAGAUUGGAACACGCACUUUUAUGAGGUAUUCACUCCACUGGUGAAUGUGCAGAAUUUAUAAGAGGACCACAUACUGUAGGUCAAAUAGCAGUUGGAAAAUAGCCGAAUUAGAACAUUUAACCCACUUUUUCCCCCCCACAAUUUAAAUAUAUUCAAUAUACACAAUUGGUUAUACACAUGCACACAACCCCAUCAAAACACAAUGUGCCGUUAAUUAAUCAAAGUGUCUUGCCAUCACUUAUUUGCUUACAAUACACGUGACACCUGAAAAACAGUUUGGGACAGGAAUAAAUGCAAGGUGGCCUGUUAUCUAAAUAUCAAGCAACAUGUUGGUUCAGUGGGAGCCUUUAUCAAGCUUGAAAUUGAUAAAGGCUUUCUAAUGGUUCACACAGAACUGAAACGUCACUUGAUUCUAUCCAAUAAAUCUGUCCUGGACCUUAUGUCUGUGCCCAGUCCUUUUUGAUUUAUUUUCACUUGAAUAGUCUGGUUGUCUCUGCACUGGCAGCACAGUUUGGAUUUUUAUGUGUGCCUACCCUACUUUUCUUUCUACUUUGCUGUUAUCUACCUGUCAGUAUUUGCUCUUUCACCUGAGGGUGCGGUGAACAUUCUUCCUGAUUUGUAAAAGCUACGUGGAUUUACAGAUGUGGACUUCCUGAUGCAUAUCCUGGUUAUUCAGUUUUUUAGAGCCAGGGCAAAGGGUUGGAUAAGUGGUUAACAGUAUAUUUGGUUUUGGCCUGCCCACAUGAAGACAUGAACUAACACCUGCAACAAUAAAACCAGAAAGAAAUACAUACUCGGGAUGCAAUUAAAAAAAAUCAUUUCAAAUUUAAAAAUACUGUUUUUAAGCAAUUCUAAACUGAUUGUGAAAAGGGAUUGUCUGCAUUUAAAUAAGACUUGAUGGAUUGGGUAUCUUUCCACACCAGCAUUAAG